UGAACGCUGACAGAAUGCUUAACACAUGCAAGUCAACUUGAACUUCGGUUUGGGUGGCGGACGGGUGAGUAACGCGUAAAGAACUUGCCUCACAGAUAGGGACAACAUUUGGAAACGAAUGCUAAUACCUGAUAUUAUGAUUAUAUGGCAUCGUAUAAUUAUGAAAGCCAUAUGCGCUGUGAGAGAGCUUUGCGUCCCAUUAGCUAGUUGGAGAGGUAACGGCUCACCAAGGCGAUGAUGGGUAGCCGGCCUGAGAGGGUGAUCGGCCACAAGGGGACUGAGACACGGCCCUUACUCCUACGGGAGGCAGCAGUGGGGAAUAUUGGACAAUGGACCAAGAGUCUGAUCCAGCAAUUCUGUGUGCACGAUGAAGUUUUUCGGAAUGUAAAGUGCUUUCAGUUGGGAAGAAAAAAAUGACGGUACCAACAGAAGAAGUGACGGCUAAAUACGUG
rnacentral:rRNA from 1 species